UUUUUCAACAUCUAUGGAUGUAUUGAGGACUUGCUGUAAGUCUGCUGUUGUGCUAAGCACUGUACACAAUGCCUUCUCUUAUGAAGUCAUAUGGUGCUACUAAAGCUCACAGAGGCUAAGUGACUUGGCCAGACUCACGGUGUAUCACUGGCAGAACUGAAAUUGAAAACCAAGCCUGUCUGAAUCCAGUAUCUGAUUUCUCAACAACUCCUGCCUCAGAAACACUUGGAACUUCAUGGAGCUUCUACAGCCACAUUCAUAGCAGUAAGUGCUGAGAAUGUGUUGAAAGCCAAAACCAAAGCAGAGUGGACAGAAGCAGAUGGAAGUGGAAAAGCGACAGAAGCAAACUGCAGAUGAUGAAGACAGGCGAACCCCCACAAAAAGUUGUGAAAGCCAAGAGGUUGGGUAGUCAACAAUGUUGGAUGAUAAAAACCAAAACUGAAGUUAAAAAGCAUAACAGGACUUUGGGAUUUAGGCCAGCAUCAGGAUCUCAAGAGACUUUUUUGUGGAAUUUCAGAGGGAGGGCCAAACUUAGAAGUCAGAAUGCUGACAUUUACGAGCUACUUAAUUAAGGCAAAGUUGCUUCCUGUUUAGAAAAAAAACAAGGCCAAAUGUUUAAACGUUUA